GCAUUUCCAUCAUCCGUACAUAUAUGUAGUGAUUGAGUGUGGGCAAAACAAGCCAGGCUAGAUCUGGAAAUCAGCUGCAUAGUCUGGAGCAGUCAGUGGCCUCUGACUCUGCAGGCAAACUCACUGCUGGGCUCUAUAUAAGCCUCUCCAAGACGGGACGGAGGAUCAGGGUGAGAUUAAUCUCUGCAGAGGCUGGGGUCCAUCGCUCUGACAACAGUGAAAAAACAGGAACUUGGUUUGAUCCCAUGAUGGACAUGGCCCUGGCCAGCGGGCACUCAUGUUACCCAAAAUUCGAACAAUUCCUGUGGGAGCACUGGGACUAUCCAAAGACUCAAUUCCCCAACCCGAACACCUACUGCGACUGGAUGAUGUGGAAUCUGGGACUAUAUGGGAAGCCAAAUCACAUCUUCAUCCAUGAACCCAUUCAGAAGAUCAUAGACGUCUGCCAUGGGGGAGGGAUACCCCGCGGGAAUGGCUGGUAUGAGAGCAUACAAUUUUUCAACAUCACCAAGUGCACAUUUAACUUCACGUUAGGUCAUUACACCAGCUCAGGGAUGUCUGUGAUAAUUGUCAUCAGAUGCAAAUAUGGGCUCCCUGUAGCUAUUCAGGAGUAGAUGCAAGGCCCAGUCUGUGCAUAGAGGGCAGCUAAGGGAACCUGCUGCUCCCUCUAGUCCCACUCUGUUCCUUCCAUACCAGGCAUGGCACCCAGCUCCUCCCGCCUCUGCACACGAGUCAGCGUCUUCAGGUGUUUCCAUCCUUCACCUGCUACUUCUCCUAGUGCCCAUUAUACAGUAUAGCAACCCCUCCCCCACCCCUCGCCCUCUGCUGCCCCUAGUGCCCAUUAUACAGUAUAGCCGCCCCUUCCCCACCCCCAGCCUCUGCUGCCCCCAGUGCCCAUUAUAUAGUAGAGCCGCCCCUUCCCCACCCCCACCCUCUGCUGCCCCCUAGUGCCCAUUAUAUAGUAGAGCCGCCCC